ensembl:lncRNA
UGAUGUGAGCUGUGUAGAGAGGUUGUCUCUGUCACAAUAAAAGUUCACUGAUUCCCCAUCUGCAGCAGGUGUCCGGUUGUCUUCAUUCUCCGCCAGCCUGGAUCCGCUCCAGGGCAACUGGAACGGAUGGGAGGAAAUCGGCCGUGGUCUGAGUGAACGGAGUUUGGACAAAAGCUGUGUGCACACAAAAACAAGUGUCUUCAUACAGGUGUUUUUUCUUAACCUGGAAGCCUGAGUACGGCAGCAGAAGACAGGCCAAGCUUUGGCUAAAAUUCACGGCUGGACACCAGAGUUGUCCUCACCCCUCCCGGUAAAACAAAAAAGAGAGAAUGUAGUUUGAGGCAGGUUUUUCUCGCUGACCUGCUCUGGGUGCUGUGUCCCUGAAUCUCACCAGUGUUAACCUCUGGCGGAAGACAUGGAGAAAAGGAAAAGAUGUUCCUGGUAAAUCACUGAAACAAAUAAAACCACACACAACCAGAGAAAGAUAUGAGAAGGGUGAGGAACAGACACAUGUGCGUGUUAGAGAAAUGCCUCGUUUGAGAAAAAGUUAAAGUAACCCAUAUACAGACGCACCCAUACAUGCAAUGAAGAAACAGCUUACAUACAUGUGCACGUACAUGCAAGGUUAAAGUAGCGACACUUAACAUACACCUGUUUUUAAAUGAUAUAGUUCAUACAUUACUGACAAUUAAACGCUUUGGGUUGCAGGACAACAACGUAACGUCAAAAGACAAAGACACUGGUCUGAGGAUUAAGUGAGGACACGACAAAUUUAGUGGUUAAAAGGGUCGACUUGGGACAUGUUUUUGUUGAUUGUUUAAGACAAAUGACUACUGAAUGAUAGGAAAUUCCUUUUUAGGUUUCUAAACAGGAUCUUAAGAAUUUUAACACGUACCUGUGUUGUCCUGUCAACUUGAGGGGUUAUGAGUUGAUUAUAUGGAGAAAAAAAAAAAAAAAAAAAAACAAAAACAAAAAAGGGGGGAGACGAGAUCUCGUUGUUUCUCCCCUCUCGGGAUAACACAGCCAACACAGCACAGCCAACACAACAUCAUUUUCCUGUUCGCCUGUUUUGUUUUGUUUUUGUUUUUUCUGAGAGCCGAAGCUGACCUGGACUCCUACCCUCCCCUCUACCAUCGUUGCCCUCUCCGCGACCAUCUUUGACCCUUUGACCCCUGAAGGCCACAGCAGCUGGACUCACAACAACAACUUGAGGAUGUCAACAGUGCUGCAAAAGAGUGAUCUCAUGCAGCAGAGACGGAGAGCACUAAACCUAAAGCCCGUUUCACUACACGGGGGAAAUUCCCAGGCUGCGUCAGCUGACAGAGCUGUGACGAGACGCGCAUUAAGCCCGGAGGAAAAGGGACGGUGAGCAGAAGGAUGCUGACCUCUGAGAAGAGCCGAACAGCAGAGCUGCAGAAGGCCGUGGAGCAAAGUAAGGAAGAUGCAGGCAGCUGCAACAACGGAUGAAAACAGACCCAAAGAGGAGGGGAGGACCCUAGGCCAUGCGUCAGGCCGCUGGUUUACCUAAACUACAGAACAGGAAGGUGAUGAACACAAACAUAUACCAACACACGAACACACACUUCUGCAUGCGCCUACUUAGAAUGAAGGGAAACACAC